rnacentral:rRNA from 1 species
UACGUAGGCAGCAAGCGUUGUUCGGAAUUACUGGGCGUAAAGAGUGUGUAGGCGGUGCUCCAAGUCUGGUGUGAAAUCUCCCGGCUUAACUGGGAGGGUGCAUUAGAAACUGGAAUGCUAGAGGAUGGGAGAGGUAGGCGGAAUUCCUGGUGUAGCGGUGAAAUGCGUAGAUAUCAAGAGGAACACCUGUGGUGUAGACAGCUUACUGGACCAUUUCUGACGCUGAGACACGAAAGCGUGGGUAGCAAACAGG